ACUCCUACGGGAGGCAGCAGUGGGGAAUAUUGCACAAUGGGCGCAAGCCUGAUGCAGCAACGCCGCGUGAGGGACGACGGCCUUCGGGUUGUAAACCUCUUUUAGUAGGGAAGAAGCGAAAGUGACGGUACCUGCAGAAAAAGCACCGGCUAACUACGUGCCAGCAGCCGCGGUAAUACGUAGGGUGCAAGCGUUAUCCGGAAUUAUUGGGCGUAAAGAGCUCGUAGGCGGUUUGUCGCGUCUGCUGUGAAAACUGGAGGCUCAACCUCCAGCCUGCAGUGGGUACGGGCAGACUAGAGUGCGGUAGGGGAGAUUGGAAUUCCUGGUGUAGCGGUGGAAUGCGCAGAUAUCAGGAGGAACACCGAUGGCGAAGGCAGAUCUCUGGGCCGUAACUGACGCUGAGGAGCGAAAGCAUGGGGAGCGAACAGGAUUAGAUACCCUGGUAGUCCAUGCCGUAAACGUUGGGAACUAGAUGUAGGGGCCAUUCCACGGCUUCUGUGUCGCAGCUAACGCAUUAAGUUCCCCGCCUGGGGAGUACGGCCGCAAGGCUAAAACUCAAAGGAAUUGACGGGGGCCCGCACAAGCGGCGGAGCAUGCGGAUUAAUUCGAUGCAACGCGAAGAACCUUACCAAGGCUUGACAUAUACCGGAAAAGUUCAGAAAUGUUCUCCCCGCAAGGUCGGUAUACAGGUGGUGCAUGGUUGUCGUCAGCUCGUGUCGUGAGAUGUUGGGUUAAGUCCCGCAACGAGCGCAACCCUCGUUCUAUGUUGCCAGCACGUAAUGGUGGGAACUCAUAGGAGACUGCCGGGGUCAACUCGGA
rnacentral:rRNA from 1 species